rnacentral:rRNA from 1 species
UACAGAGGGUGCAAGCGUUAAUCGGAAUUAUUGGGCGUAAAGCGCAUGUAGGUGGUUUUGUAAGUUUGAUGUGAAAUCCCCGGGCUCAACCUGGGAAUGGCAUUGGAUACUGGCUCGCUAGAGUGCGGUAGAGGGUGGUGGAAUUCCCGGUGUAGCAGUGAAAUGCGUAGAGAUCGGGAGGAACAUCUGUGGCGAAGGCGGCCACCUGGACCAACACUGACACUGAGGCACGAAAGCGUGGGGAGCAAACAGG